rnacentral:rRNA from 1 species
GAUGAACGCUAGCGGCAGGCUUAAUACAUGCAAGUCGUGGGGCAGCAUGAAUGUAGCAAUACAUUUGAUGGCGACCGGCAAACGGGUGCGGAACACGUACACAACCUUCCUAUAAGUGGGGAAUAGCCCAGAGAAAUUUGGAUUAAUACCCCGUAACAUAACGAUGUGGCAUCACAUUGUUAUUAUAGCUUCGGCGCUUAUUGAUGGGUGUGCGGCUGAUUAGAUAGUUGGCGGGGUAACGGCCCACCAAGUCUACGAUCAGUAGCUGAUGUGAGAGCAUGAUCAGCCACACGGGCACUGAGACACGGGCCCGACUCCUACGGGAGGCAGCAGUAAGGAAUAUUGGUCAAUGGACGCAAGUCUGAACCAGCCAUGCCGCGUGAAGGAUUAAGGUCCUCUGGAUUGUAAACUUCUUUUAUCUGGGACGAAGAAAGGCUUUUCUAAGUCACUUGACGGUACCAGAUGAAUAAGCACCGGCUAACUCCGUGCCAGCCGCCGCGGUAAUAC